rnacentral:rRNA from 1 species
ACGAGUGGCGGACGGGUGAAGUAAUGUCUGGGAAACUGCCCGAUGGAGGGGGGAUAACUACUGGAAACGGUAGCUAAUACCGCAUAACGUCGCAAGACCAAAGAGGGGGACCUUCGGGCCUCUUGCCAUCGGAUGUGCCCAGAUGGGAUUAGCUAGUAGGUGGGGUAACGGCUCACCUAGGCGACGAUCCCUAGCUGGUCUGAGAGGAUGACCAGCCACACUGGAACUGAGACACGGUCCAGACUCCUACGGGAGGCAGCAGUGGGGAAUAUUGCACAAUGGGCGCAAGCCUGAUGCAGCCAUGCCGCGUGUAUGAAGAAGGCCUUCGGGUUGUAAAGUACUUUCAGCGAACGAGGAAGGCGUUGUGGUAAUUAACCGGAGCGAUUGGAAUUACUCGCAGAAGA